CAAACCUUUAACUGAAUCCAGAGAGAUUUAAAAGGUUGUCAAUGUUACGUGUCAAUUGUACACGUAUACCUCUUUGCGACCUUUUGCAAAGAGGUUUUUUUAAU
rfam:Virgibacillus necropolis strain LMG 19488 chromosome, complete genome.